rnacentral:lncRNA from 1 species
CUAAACCAUAUUAACCAAAUCAAAGCCCAAACCUAACCACAGACCCAAAUCAAAUCAAAAUCCCAGUUUAACCCAAUUCAAAUCAUGCACAACCUAACCUAAUGCAACCUCUUCUUUUAUCAGGUCCUUAGAGACAAAUCAUUUCAACCCAAUUCUCUAGCAAAUGAAACUAGAGUCACAUUGCCACUGCAUUCAACCUCAAUUGAAGUAAAAAAUAUAUGCAUUUUACUUAAUGAAUGAAGCAGGUAGCUUGCUACCUAUUUCUCAAAAAAAAAGAAAAAAAUUUAUAUGAAUUAAUCAAACUAUCCUUUAUCUCUGUUCAUUUGACUAAGAUCAGAGAAUAAUAAAUUAGAUUCCACCAAACCAAAUUAAUUUGAUUGGACUCUAAUACGCAUACUUAGAGUUUAAUUAAAUCAAUUAGACUCUAAUAUGUAUAAAUAGAGUUUAAUCU